GAUGGAUUCCGCGUCUGCAAUUAGCUCAGUUGGUAAGGUUACGGCUUUACCAAGGCAACGAGUGCAUUAGCCGACCUGAGAGGGUGAUCGGCCACACUGGUACUGAGACACGGUCCAGACUCCUACGUGAGCAGCAGUAGGGAAUCUUCCGCAAUGGGCGAAGCCUGACGGAGCAACGCCGCGUGAGUGAUGAAGGUCUUCGGAUCGUCAAACUCUGUUAUUAGGGAGGAACAUAUGUGUAAGGUAACUGUGCACAUCUUGACGGUACCUAAUCAGAAAGCCACGGCUAACUACGUGCCAGCAGCCCNGGUAAUACGUAGGUGGCAAGCGUUAUCCGGAAUUAUUGGGCGUAAAGCGCGCGUAGCGGUUUUUUAAGUCUGAUGUGAAAGCCCACGGCUCAACCGUGGAGGGUCAUUGGAAACUGGAAAACUUGAGUGCAGAAGAGGAAAGUGGAAUUCCAUGUGUAGCGGUGAAAUGCGCAGAGAUAUGGAGGAACACCAGUGGCGAAGGCGACUUUCUGGUCUGUAACUGACGCUGAUGUGUGAAAGCGUGGGGAUCAAACAGGAUUAGAUACCCUGGUAGUCCACGCCGUAAACGAUGAGUGCUACAGUGUUAGGGGGUUUCCGCCCCUUAGUGCUGCAGCUAACGCAUUAAGCACUCCGCCUGGGGAGUA
rnacentral:rRNA from 1 species